rnacentral:rRNA from 1 species
ACAAAAACAUGUCCUUUUGAUUAUAAUUUAAGGUCUAGCCUGCCCAAUGAUGUAGAGUUAAAUGGCCGCGGUAUUUUGACCGUGCAAAGGUAGCAUAAUCAUUAGUUUUUUAAUUGAAAGCUGGUAUGAAAGGUUGGAUGAGAAAAUUACUGUCUCUAUUUAAGUUUUAUAGAAUUUUAUUUUUAAGUUAAAAAGCUUAAAUUUUUAUUGAAGACGAGAAGACCCUAUAGAGUUUUAUACUUAUUUUAAAUUAAAAAUUUUAGUAUAAAGUUUUUUUAUUUUAGGGUAAGUAUUUGGUUGGGGUGAUUGAAAAAUUGAGUAAACUUUUUUUUAAAAAAAAUCAUUGAUUUAUGAAUAUAUGAUCCUUAUUUAAAGAUUAAAAGAUUAAAUUACCUUAGGGAUAACAGCGUAAUUUUUUUUUAGAGUUCUAAUCGAAAAAAAAGGUUGCGACCUCGAUGUUGGAUU